GAUAGGAUAAGGUAUCGAAAUAUGACGACGACCUUGAUGGCGACAUGAAUAACGGCGGAAACGGGAUAAUGGCGACGGAUGCAGAAGAGACGACAGCUAUGAUGGUCAUUACCCAGUUUCCUCAAAUAUUUCCAAACAAGACGACCACUCCUAAAGACGCUGAAAAAUCUGACGGCUCCUAUCAAACAGAAUGGCCAAUUCCAAGACGACUCAUUAUCGACGGCUCGGGCUGAUCUCUUUCCUCAACUACGUUCUUCCUAAACAUGAAGAUGACGAAGACCUAAACAUUGUGACAAGAGGCCUCCUAAUUUGCUGCUGGUGACUUAUUUAAUGAAGAGCGAUCAGCUAUUGUGCUUUAGGCUUUAGGCUUAUCUCUCAGGUGGGAUCCUCUCUCAGUUUUCUUGCAGUGAUCAGGAACAAGUGCUUAACGUUCUUCCUCUGUUUAGUUACUUAAAAGAAGAACCCAGAUCUGUGUCAGAAGUUGCAGAAGAAGAAAAAAAGUUUCCAUGAUGCGUAAAGAGAGUAAAGCAGUCUUGGACGCUUGCUUGCUUUCGUAGGCGGAUGUUAGUCUCAGGCUCCGGACUGUAGGGAUUGAUAUGUAAACAGUUGGGGUAGACAUUUCAGAGUUACUGCUACAGAAAUUGUGAGGCAAUCGGUUGAAGAGCUGCUCUACAUCUUUGGCUCAGCAUUUGUCAUGAAGAAUGAAAACUCAGGUUGUUUAGUUGGAUGUGGUGAGUCUCUGAUUGCUUCGGUCUUACGUUGAGAGGAUGCAUUUUCUGUGAGUUUUGUUUGUUUCACAUUUUUUACUUUAAGAUUUUUGGCUGAUUGAAUUCUCUUGAAUAAAGCGUAUAAAAAGAUCAUUAACAUUAGUUUUUGGAUUGAGGCGAAAAUAUAAUAGAAAAUUUAUUGGAUUCUAUUCACUGAGCAUGAUGUAACCCAAAUUUGUCCUCCCCCUUAUUAGUGAUGACUUAGCUCUCGAUUUGCCUAAAUUAUAUAUGCUACAUGUGAUUAGCUACAAACUUACAAUGAGCUUUUAAGUUGUCUGCAGCAGUUUGACUUCCAUGACUGUAAUUCUUUUUUUUUUAAGUUGUCUGCAGCAGUUCGUACACUUCAUUUAUCUAUACUGCCAUACAUGCUAUUCAUUUUGAUCUCUUUUUUUUCUUAAAACAUUUUGAUCAUUUUUAACAAAGGAAAUCAUUUUGAUCGUA